CCCCUCUAUAAAAAUGUGCCUAACAGUCAUGCGGGAGUAAUUUUGUCCACGAAUCCGUGGAAGGCAGGGAGUGAGCCCAGUGCCUGGCACACAGCAACACGCACUGAACACUUGUUGAAUAUAAGCAUGCCAACAUUGUCCGAGGUCCCACACCCUGGCUCCAGACACCCAUUUCACAGGUGCCCAGGUUAACACCUUUGGAAGGAGCGUAGUCAAACAGGACCCGACCCGAAGAUAGGGCCACAGCCCACAACUGCCGGCCACGUGUGGACAGGAUGUGACUUCCGAGUACAUACUGCAGCCGCCACCAGUUGGACGGGGGAAAACAGCAUAGACCAGCAAAUUCUUGGCAAUCUGAGUUUCCACACUGGGCAGUGUAAAGUCCUUGAAAAAAAAAUGGGCGGCUGAGGUUUGAGCAGGUCAAGACCCCGGACGGCAGUUUAGAAGGGUCCAUUCCGUCAGCCCUGUGGACAGGAUCUGUAUUCUAGACACUGUGGGAGGGGCGGAGUCCAUGCUCAAGCUAUGAGCCGAGGAUGUCGCCCAAUUGGUGGAGGGCUUGCCUAGCAUGCAGGAUGCCCUGGGUUUAAUCCCCCCAGCACUGCAUAGAUGGUGCAUGCCUAUAAUUCCACAGCACAGCGCUCAGGAGGCGGAGGCCGUAGGAACGAGGUGUUUAAAGAGUUCAAGUGGGGAUGAGCCCCCCCCCCAUCCCUUUAUUCUGGCCAAAGUGAGCCAGGAGAGAGGUAAGGGGGCAAGAUGGCUCUCAAGAUUGAAGGAGCAAAGGGAGGGAGGGGUUCCAGGGAGUCAGCCGGUAAGCUGGAUCGGAUGAACAGCUAGGGUGGGUUUGGGAAAGGAAGAUGGACUUUUCUGGUACAAGGAACAAUCCACCAGGACCAUGUGGAAGUGGUUCUGGAAAAGCUGCGUGGAACAUGGCAGAGGAAGCAGGAAGGAAAGGCUGAGUCAGAAAAGACAAGGAUGUCAGGCGCUGAGGCUAGCCUCCGGAGCGGCUGAAUCCAGCCUGGACCGAGCCUAAUCCUGAGGGGCCUCCUGGAGAGAGAAGUCUUCUCCUGGGUAGCGAGAUGGCAGGGAGCCAGUCAGGUCAAGGGCAUGUCCAACGCAGACUCAGAGGGUCAGCCUGGGAGUUAGGUAACCAACCCCAUGUCUAUGACAGCAUUUUUUACCUCGGAGUCUUCAAAACCGGCAUCAGAAGCCGGGCCUUGCAGCUUGUGAGGGUCUGUGUGGCUGGCGGGCGGGGAGCCCCAGCCUAUGUUCUGCUCCUCCUCCCUCCCCCCAUGACCACUCCCCAGGCCCCUUCCUGGGGCCCAGUGACCUCUUGAGACCAUCGUGAGACUCCUGGCUAUCCCACCAUCUCAUCUGCUGCGUCUUAGCAAGGCAGCGGCUGAGCUCAUCACGCCUCAUCUUCCUGUGAGCUCAAGCCCACACGGUCCAGUCUCUGUGUCCCAUAUGUCAUCCAUGAGCCCUCCCAUUGCUCCUGCCUCAAGCUGUGUUCUUUCUCUCCCAACUCCGUUUCUCCUUCAUCAGUGCUGAUGCAUAGCCUCUCCUCUCCGCUUGCCCUUUUUUGGGGGGUGGGGGGAUGUUUUGAGACAGGGUCUCUCUGUGUAACAGCACUUAGCUGUCCUGGAACUCACCAGGCUGGCCUUGAACUCAGAGAUCCACCUGCCUCACUCACAGAGAUCCACCCGACUCUGCCUCCCAGGUGCUGAGAUUACCACCACCACCACCACCACCACCACCACCACCACCACCACCACCCUUUCAGCUUUUAAUGAAACUUCAUCAUGCCCAUUUCCUGUUGAAAGUUACCAGCAGCUUGGCUUCCCACCCUCCUAGGAGAAGUGUCUUGCCUGGGUGUCUGUCUGUUACCUACUUUCCCUCAGUGGACAGAUCUUCACCUCCCACUUGGCCUGUCCGCUUAUUUAUUUUCAGACGGAGUCUCACGAUGGAGCCCUGGCUGGCCUGGAAUGUGCUCUGUAGACCAGGCUGGCCUAUGUCUCCAGAAUGCUGGGAUCAAAGGCCUGAGCCGUAAAGCCUAGCCCCGGGCUGCUGAU